CCCUCCACUUAUCCCCGUGCCCAUCUGUGAUCUCCACCACCACCAUCUCUACCUCCACCGGCCUCUCCUAGCCCCGUCUAAGAUCCUCCCUCUCCGACCACCCCUUGCCGACGACCUCCUUUUCAUCCGUCUACCGACGGAUUCUCGCUGCUUCAUAUGGUCGCCGGUUUCGCUCCCGAUGCCGCGGCCGAUUUGUGGUCUCCGCAUGAUGUGGCCGACGCCCUGCGCGUUGUAGGAGCAGUUGGAGAGGCUGGGUAAAAGAGGAGGCGGCGCGGUGAGGAUCGAUCAUGUGGCUGAACUCGGUCCCCAAGUUUUUCUCCCGUCUGCGGCUCUGACAAGAAGAUGGUUGGCGGCGUGGCGAGGGUGCGAGGCUGCUGCAGAUUCUGGACGUGCGGGUGGUGGGCAGCGGGGAGAGCUUUGUUGGUGAUGUUGCCCGGCUUCGGACCACUCGGCGUGGAGGCGCGUGCUCCCGUGUUCUAACUUGUCGGGGCGGGGACGCAGCAAGGUUCGUCGGGUUGCUGCGACGGUGCAGUGAUGCUGCAACAAAUGAUCUUCACUGUCCGUGACGCGGAUGCCGCCGCGUGGAGGGACUUGAGGUUGCGGAAGCGGGAUUUAAAGGCUGUAGGGAAGCGUCACCAUGAUGCACGGUGUUGAGCUUAGCGAUCUGCUCAAAUUCCACGAAAUCAGUCGCCUCUGUGCGGAUGGUGUCCACGGUGGACAUCCCACCUCCUACUUUCACACUUUGGAAUAAGUCUUGGUAAACCAAUUCGCAAUUGAUUUUCCCUUGCUCCCUCUGAGAGUAUUCAGUAAUAAAUCCACAGGUUUAUAGCUUCACAUGCAAAAACACACACACGUUAGGCCUUUAUCUUGCUUAGUUGAGGCACUUGGCCAUUUUUAUCUGUUUACCUGUUUCAGUUUAAGGUUUGAAGUUCUUUUUGUUGUUUUAUACUUCCAAUUUGGCCUACUGUAUUUGUUUCAUAGUAUAUAGAUUAUCUACAUUAGUUCAACAUUUCUAAAAUAAUGUUAUCAUCUCUUUUUGGUGUUUUGUACUUACGUUGAGAAGCAGUUCAAACUGGCCCGCUAGAUCUUUUCGGUAGCAUAUAGUUUUUCCUUCCAUUCAAUUGAUGUCUCACUCUCAUGCAGGUUAUGUAUCUUGCUGCUGAAAAGGAGAUGACGUUCCAAUGGCUGCCUCUUCCCAACAAAUGUAUUGUUGUGCAAAUGUCAACUGUUUGCUAUCUUGGUCUGGGUGGCACUACCACUGCCAAAGUAUAGAAGAACUGGGCUCCUCCUGCACAGUUUCGGUCUUAGGUGAAUCUUCUGGGGUUCAACUGGUGAUCCGAGAGGAUGGGCAUGAACAUAGUUCUUUGUCUCCAGAGCCACACUGGGAGCGGAAGCAUACUACUUUGUAUAGUAUAAACAAGAUGCUACCUCCAUAGGAACGAUAAUUAGUGCUGAAAUGCGAGCUUUUGCAUUAAGCAACAUUAUUGACAUUGUUGUUCAGCAAAAGGCACGAAAAAGAGUAAAAGCAAAGAAGAUUUCUCAGCAAUAGACGCUGGUGUAGAAGUUAUGUAGUAUUGUAGUUUCAGUUUGAUCUACAAAAUGAGUUAUUACCCGAAUAUCUUGCUGUAUGUAACAUAGUUUCCAUUUAGUAUGUUUGGAGAGUAUGUAAUGCAGCUGCAAGUAGUGCUAUCAUCAAUAAUGUAGCUACAAGUAGUGGUAUCAUGUAUAAUGCAUGUAGUGUAUAUAAUGAAAAACAUUAAUCAUGUUUA